CGCAUCUGUGCAUGCAGCAUAUCAAUAAGCGGAGGAAAAGAAACUAACAAGGAUUCCCCUAGUAACGGCGAGUGAAGCGGGAAGAGCUCAAAUUUGAAAUCUUAAAGGGUUUCCCUUUACGAAUUGUAGUUUAAAGAAGUGUUUUCUGUUGAGGUUUUGGUAAAAGUUCUUCGGAAUAGGACAUCAUAGAGGGUGAGAAUCCCGUAUUUGACCUUUACUUUCAACUUUGUGAUACACUUUCAAAGAGUCGGAUUGUUUGGGAAUGCAGUCCAAAAUGGGUGGUAAAUUUCAUCUAAAGCUAAAUAUUGGCGAGAGACCGAUAGCGAACAAGUACCGUGAGGGAAAGAUGAAAAGAACUUUGAAAAGAGAGUUAAACAGUACGUGAAAUUGUCAAAAGGGAAGCGUUUGACACCAGUGUUGUUUUUCUGAAAAUCAAUUAAAGAACUGUUUAUGCUAGGCUGUUUAGACUUUAUCAGCUAACUGUUUAGUUUUGAGCUUUUCUUUAAUGCACUUUUCAGUUAACAAGUCAACAUCAAUUUCUUUUGCUGUAAAAAAGCUUGAGGAAGGUGGCUUGAGAUUCGUCUUAAGUGUUUAUAGCCUCUUGCCUAUGCAGUCGGAGAGAUUGAGGUCUGCAGCGUAGAUCCUUCGGGGCUAAAUGCAUUUGUGCUAAGUUAUAGCAUUUUAUAGACAACUUGUUGACUAUGAUUUGUCUUGUAGCUUACUCGCUUAUGUUAUUUUACCUACGCUUAGGAUGUUGAAUCUGUGCGAGACUAC
rnacentral:rRNA from 1 species